UUGCGAAAUUUCCUUUUGCAGUUUUUUUUAUCUCAAUUCUGCUUGGAAUUUGUUAAUUGGUGUUUAAUAUUUAUUUAUUUUUCUUAUAAUAAAUGGGUGUUAGGAUUGGGGUCUAGUAGGAAAAUUUGACAACUUCGAGGCAGACUGCAUGUUUUGACCCAGUACCUCAACUCUUUUUUUGGUACUGAACUCUAGCCUUUUGAAGGAUUUUGGAUGGUGGGGUAAUGCUGAUUUAGAAAACUUAGCCCAUUGUGAACUAUGAAAGCAAUAGAAGAGCUCUUAGCCUAUUGUUCACGUUUUCCCCAACUCAUGCCACGGCUUGGCACCAGAAUCUAUCCAGGGACCUAACAGACGGUAUAAUCGUUACAUUGCAACAUAGCAUUCCCAUGUCCUUUAUGCUUUCAUGCCCAAUGUAUGAAAUUAUAUUCAACCAAAAG